GCCCCCGUAGCUCAGUAGGAUAGAGCGAGGGUUUCCUAAACCCUAGGUCGGACGUUCGAUUCGUCUCGGGGGUA
rnacentral:tRNA from 1 species